GAUGCCAUCAUCAUGGCUAUCAAGCCAAUAGGGAAACAAUAUCAGUGUCAUCAUUUCAUUCUCCCAACACCUAAAGUUACUUUCAGAAGUUGUAAACUGGGUACCAAUGGGGUUCCUUUUUCUUUUCUUUUUUUUCCUGUUUGUUUUGAUUUUCGGGGCCCAAAAGCAAAGCACAACAAGUACUUAACAGGGCGAGAAAUAGCAAAGUUUCAAAAUUUGUCAAAAACAAUAGCAAAAAAAAUAAAGAAAAAAAAAAGAGAAAAAGAAAAGAAGCAAUGCCAUCAAUUUGCAAAAGGUAAAGAGAAUGAUCAGAUAGAGCUAAUACAUUGUAGAUGCCAUCAUCACGGCAAUCAAACCAAUAGGGAAACAUUCAGUUCAUCAUCUCAUUCUCCGACCUCCUUAAAAACCAAAAACAAAGUCCUUGACGGUGUUAAAAUCAGAAAUCAGUAACCCAAAGCAAAACAAGGUAAGCUAAAUGAAAAGUAAAACAACCAAGGAAAACCAAAAUUGCUCUGCAGAGUCGGCUUGUUGGGACUUCCGCAGUUUUGGUUUUCCCUGGAACUAAGUCAACAGACUCAUAUAUUAGGCUGAAAGAAAACUUGAAACCCUAAUUCUGUUGACUUAGUUCCUGGCCUGUAAGCUUUCUUCCAGUCUUUGAUAUACGGCCCAAGCCCACAUCCCUGCAUAACCCUCACCUCUACAGCCCUGCUACAGUGUUUGCCGCCAUGGAGAAUGACCAAGCGCCACCUGUCAAGCUCCUUGAGAAAUGACAACCACCGUUUAUAUCUUAUUACUUCCGAGUCUAUUUGGCUCUCUCUGCGAUGACUAAACAAUUCGCCUGAAACUUCUUGCGCUAUCUAUCUAAGUAUUUUACUUCAGCUCUUAUUUUAAUCCUUCUCCAUCAAUAACUAUCAACUUAGAAUUUUAACCCUUUGCCUAUUUUUAAUGCAAUUUCUGUCUGGGUUUUUCUUUAAAACCGAAACUGUUGUUGGAUUCCGUGGAACUCAUACGACUUCAUUACUGAUACUGCUUCAUCAAGUGAAGAAGAGGUCACUUUGGCAUGGCUGAAGCUGCUGGUUGGUUUCUUAACCAUGAAAUAGGAAGAUAUGAAAGUGCUUGAAGGAAUAUGAGGUUAAGGUUGGCGGAGCAUUCUCUUCGAGCCGCAUUAGCUUCUUGAUAAUUCUCCAUGAGAAGUAAAAAAUGGAGCGAGGGUUUAGCCUCAACAUUGUCUCUACUGUAAUUUCACAUUCGACUGCAACCUGCGUUUCCAAAGAACUUGCUGAAAGGUGUUGUGGUUUGUUACGACCAUCGUAAUGCAAGUAAGCCUGAUUCAUCUACUUGUACAGUGAACAAGCUUAUUUAUUUGGAAUAUUUCCUUCUAUUAACUUGGGGUUUCCCUGUUUAUCUUUUUAUCUUUUUAUCUUUUGCCUGGUUUUAUGCUUUAUGUUUUUUUCUUUCAUACAAUAUCACACUGUACCUAGUCUAAGUGCAGCAUCUCUUGCAAGGUCGAGGAAUGAAAUCCUUCUAAAAGAUUCGUAAGCAAGUAAAUAUUAUCUAAUUAACUUAUAAAUUUUCCUGCUCAAGUAAAUAUUACUUCCUAAUAAGAAUCAAAUCUCUCCCUUAAAAGGUUAAAAUAUAAAAAAAAGAUGCAAUAAUGUCAUUUGAUUAAAAUAUGUUAAAAACAUAAAAGAACUCUUACAAGUAAAAUAUGCUGCAAUAUUUGUGAAAAGCGUCGCAGUACAAUACUUUUCAGUAGUGUGAACGGUGAUCCCUUAUCAGGGAAAUAAAAAAGAAAAAGAAAAGGGGAAGAAACCCACAGAAAGAACUGGAAAAGCAAAGAAAGGCUUCUGCAUCAAGCAAGGGGUAUAAACUUUUUUAUGAGAAGAAAGGGAUUUGGUUCUUUGCAAUUUGAGCUUCUCUUGGAAGCUGGCUGAGCCAGCUGAGGGAUUAGUGAGAAUAUGUUCUUUAUGUUCAUGGAGAGCAAUGUGAAGGAAUCAACUUUGGCCCCCUGCAGCCUCUAAGUUGGAAACAAAGUACGUUGCAGUUCUUUGAACAGUGGAAGGCACUGAUACAGUGCUGGAGGGGAUAUGCGUCCUUGGGACUGUACUAUUUGAAGAGGAAUGUAGAGAAUCAUGCUGAAAGCAGCAAUAACAAUGGCCAAGAAUAUUUCAGUAGUUGGAAGAGACAUCCAGGUGUACAUUUCUUGGGGAUAGUGCUCUCAAGCAAGCUUAAAAUCAGACCAGAGUAAAGGUUUGCUUAUCUCUCAUGAUGAACGUAUUUUUAGAUAGAACCAUACUCAAAAGUUUGAACGUCUUUUAUGUUAUGUAAAUUGUCAAAUAGUAUGUAUGUUGGGAUCCAGGGGAGUUCAUAUUAUAGUAUUAAGCAAAAAGCCUUGCCCCUUUUCUGCUUGAAGUGAAGUUGAGAGAUAUCCAUCCUAUUAUACUACUGUUGUUGCUUUUAGCUAAAGCGAGAAUUCAAGAUUAGCAUGGGAAUUUCUUAA